CCACCUCCCUUUCCCCACUUUUCUAUUUUAUUCUUUAACCAAGGCUAAAUUAAGACGAUCGAGAAUGACAAAGAAGAGCGAGAGAGAACCCAAUCGCUUCUCUAUUCUCGGACAGAAGAGGUAAGCUCAUAUCUCUAUAUUUUAGGGCUUGUAAAUCUUUUUAUAUCUACUUCACUUGGAUUUUUGGGUACAAUUUUGCGGACUAUUCCAGCAAUUUAAUAGAUAUUGUAUCUUAUUUUUGAUAAGUAGUGAUUGAGAAUUUGAACAGAAGCAAUAUUACAAAAUUCGGAUGAAGAUAAUUUAAGUUGUUUAAAAAGUGUUCAAAAUUUUCUUUUUUACUUCUUUUGUUGCUUUGUAUAUUUUCCUUUUGUUAUCUAUUAGAAAUUCUUGUAAAAUAUUUAUCAAUACAUGUUUUUUGUCUGCUUGAAAUUCUAUCAAUAUUUUUACUAAUUGAGCUUUCAACUCAGUCGUACUUGUUAAAAAUAUAUAUGAUCAAUUAUUUUUGUUUCGUGAUGUUAAAAAUAUUUUUUCAUUGACCGGUAGAUUGGUGGAGUUAGAGCAAUGACAAGUUAAGACCAAGAUAAGGUGCAGUUAAAGACCCGAGGAGUGAAAGAAGAAGAUGGUGUCGUAGAAAAAUUGUGCAUUGUGAAUGCUUCGAAAUUUACAAUUAUGUGUAACUUGAAACCUAUUGUGGAAUAUAAAUUUUUUUUAUUCUUAGCUACGUUAUUAAAAGCUUAUGUGUAACUUUGAAUUUGUUUUGGAAUCUAAAAUAUUUGGAAUUUUAGCUAUUAUGAAAAUUAUUUUGACUAGUUAUUCUUGUAGCAAAUUCUUUAAUUUGUG
rnacentral:lncRNA from 1 species